rnacentral:rRNA from 1 species
AUGAAACUAACCCGUAUUGACGUUGUUUUCAGCAGAACUGCCAUGGUGUUGUUUAUUGUGCAGAAAACAAAUGUUCUCGAAAUGACCUACAAAUCCACGGAGAAAGCUUUUGGAAAAUAUAAAAAAUAUUGGCGAAAGAAUCAAGGCCAGGGGGCCCACACACUAUCCAUGAGGGUGGGGGGCGAGCCCCCUCCCCCUGGGCGCGCCCCCUGUCUCAUGGGCCCCCUGGAGCUCCACCGACCUCAACUCCAACUCCAUAUAUUCUGUUUCGCAGAGAGAAAAACGGAAGAGAAAUUUUCAUCGCGUUUUACGAUACGGAGCCGCCGCCAAGCCCUAAUCUCUCUCGGGAGGGCUGAUCUGGAGUUCGUUUGGGGCUCCGGAGAGGGGGAUUCGUCGCCGUCGUCAUCAUCAACCAUCCUCCAUCACCAAUUUCAUGAUGCUCACCGCCAUGCGUGA